UCAAGCUAAGAAGGGCGCAAGGGGGAUGCCUUGGCAUUGGUAGCCGAUGAAGGACGUAGCGAUCUACGAUAAGCCACGGGAAGUCGAAAGCAGGCAAUGAUCCGUGGAUUUCCGAAUGGGGAAACCCGGCAGAGCAAUACUCUGUCAACUCCUUGUGAAUAAAAUAGCAUUGAGUAGGGAACCUCCUGAACUGAAACAUCUAAGUAGGGCGAGGAAAAGAAAUCAACCGAGAUUCCGCUAGUAGUGGCGAGCGAACGCGGAAGAGGCCAAACCGAGAGUAGUAAUACUUUCGGGGUUAGGACAGAAAUGUGUACACAGAGGUUUAGCAGAAUUGUAUGGGAAGGCAAACCAAAGAGAGUGAAAGUCUCGUAUGCGAAAAACUAAAGUGGCUAUCUGUAUCCAGAGUACCGCCGGACACGAGGAAUCCGGUGGGAAGAUGGGGGGACCAUCCUCCAAGCCUAAAUACUAACCGAUGACCGAUAGAGAAGAGUACCGUGAGGGAAAGGUGAAAAGCACCCCGGGAGGGGAGUGAAAGAGAACCUGAAACCUUGUGCUUACAAGCACCGAGAGCCCGUCAAAGGGUGAUCGGGUACCUAUUGUAGAAUGGUCCGGCGAGUGAAUGUUACUGGCGAGGUUAAGCACCUAAGGUGUGGAGCCAAAGCGAAAGCAAGUCUGAAUAGGGCGAUUUUAAGUCAGUAGUAUUCGACCCGAAACCGGGUGACCUACCCAUGUCCAGGUUGAAGUGGAGGUAAAACUCCAUGGAGGACCGAACCGACUCCCGUUGAAAUGGUAGCGGAUGAGGUGUGGGUAGCGGAGAAAUUCCAAUCGAACCCGGAGAUAGCUGGUUCUCUCCGAAAUAGCUUUAGGGCUAGCCUCGGAAUAGAUUACUGGAGGUAAAGCACUGAAUGGGCUAGGGGCCGAGAGGUUACUGAACCCUAUCAAACUAAGAAUGCCAGAUAAUUGUUUUCCGGGAGUCAGACGGCGUGAGAUAAGUUUCGUCGUCAAAAGGGAAAGAGCCCAGACCCACAGCUAAGGUCCCAAAGUAUAGUUAAGUGGAAAAGGAUGUGGGGUUGCCCAGACAACCAGGAUGUUGGCUUAGAAGCAGCCACUCAUUAAAAGAGUGCGUAAUAGCUCACUGGUCGAGUGACCCUGCGCCGAAAAUUCAACGGGGCUAAAUUAUACACCGAAGCUUGGGAUACCGCAAGGUAUGGUAGGAGAGCGUUCUGUAAGGAGUGAAGUGAGAGCGAAAGCGUUCGUGGACUUUACAGAAGUGAGAAUGCCGGAAUGAGUAGCGAGAAAUAUGUGAGAAUCAUAUUGGCCGAAAGUCUAAGGUUUUUGGAGGAAGGUUCGUCCGCUCCAAGUAAGUCGGGAGCUAAGGUGAGGCCUAACGGCGUAGCCGAUGCACAUACGGUAGAUAUUCCGUAACCACCGAAAGAUUUAAACACAGGGACACCUUGAAAGGGCAUAUCCCGGGAGUUGGUUUACCCGGGCGUAAGGGAUCGAAAUUUGAGUAGAGAAGUAUGUUUGGACGAGGGCGAGAAAAGCUGUGCGUAUAUUUUAGGUGCCCGUACCGCAAACCGACACAGGUGGACAGGAAGAGGAUUCUAAGGCCAACGGGAGAAGGGUAGUUAAGGAACUCGGCAAAUUGACCCCGUAACUUAGGGAUAAGGGGUGCUCAUAGGAAUAUGAGCCGCAGAGAAUAGGCCCAGGCAACUGUUUAUCAAAAACACAGGUCUCUGCCAAAUCGAAAGAUGAAGUAUAGGGGCUGACACCUGCCCGGUGCUGGAAGGUUAAGAGGAGGAGUGAGAGCUCCGAAUUGAAGCCCCAGUAAACGGCGGCCGUAACUAUAACGGUCCUAAGGUAGCGAAAUUCCUUGUCGGGUAAGUUCCG
rnacentral:rRNA from 1 species